rnacentral:rRNA from 1 species
AGUGAACGCUGGCGGUAGGCCUAACACAUGCAAGUCGAACGGCAGCACAGUAAGAGCUUGCUCUUAUGGGUGGCGAGUGGCGGACGGGUGAGGAAUACAUCGGAAUCUACUUUUUCGUGGGGGAUAACGUAGGGAAACUUACGCUAAUACCGCAUACGACCUACGGGUGAAAGCAGGGGAUCUUCGGACCUUGCGCGAUUGAAUGAGCCGAUGUCGGAUUAGCUAGUUGGCGGGGUAAAGGCCCACCAAGGCGACGAUCCGUAGCUGGUCUGAGAGGAUGAUCAGCCACACUGGAACUGAGACGCGGUCCAGACUCCUACGGGAGGCAGCAGUGGGGAAUAUUGGACAAUGGGCGCAAGCCUGAUCCAGCCAUACCGCGUGGGUGAAGAAGGCCUUCGGGUUGUAAAGCCCUUUUGUUGGGAAAGAAAAGCAGCAGGUUAAUACCCCGCUGUUCUGACGGUACCCAAAGAAUAAGCACCGGCUAACUUCGUG